rnacentral:rRNA from 1 species
UACGAAGGGGGCUAGCGUUGCUCGGAAUCACUGGGCGUAAAGGGUGCGUAGGCGGGUCUUAAGUCAGGGGUGAAAUCCUGGAGCUCAACUCCAGAACUGCCUUUGAUACUGAAGAUCUUGAGUUCGGGAGAGGUGAGUGGAACUGCGAGUGUAGAGGUGAAAUUCGUAGAUAUUCGCAAGAACACCAGUGGCGAAGGCGGACUCACUGGCCCAUAACUGACGCUGAGGCACGAAAGCGUGGGGAGC